rnacentral:rRNA from 1 species
UACGGAGGGUGCAAGCGUUAUCCGGAUUCACUGGGUUUAAAGGGUGCGUAGGCGGGCAGGUAAGUCCGUGGUGAAAUCUCUGAGCUUAACUCAGAAACUGCCAUGGAUACUAUUUGUCUUGAAUGUUGUGGAGGUAAGCGGAAUAUGUCAUGUAGCGGUGAAAUGCUUAGAUAUGACAUAGAACACCAAUUGCGGAGGCAGCUUACUACACAAAUAUUGACGCUGAGGCACGAAAGCGUGGGGAUCAAACAGG